AAGGAUAUAGCUUAGUGGGAGAGCACUUGCCUUGCAUGUACAAUGUCCUGGACUCAAUUCCCAGUACCUCUA
rnacentral:tRNA from 1 species